AGACAUUCCCUUCUCAGAAUUCCAAUCAAGAGAAUUGGACUAAUUCCACUUUACACUGGGAUAUUCAUAUCUACCCAAUGAUCUGUGUGUCAUCACCAGAGCAGUGGAGGGAUAAAGACUUAAACGUACUUCAACACAGACAAAAAGGAGUGAGGCCAAAUGGGUGUAUUGAAGAUAUAAAUUAUCCUGAACCAUCAAGUAAACUUUAUCUUCUAAGGCUAAGGGAAAGGAAAUAUGUAUUCAAGUGUUAGUGAAGUUUUUCUCUUGUGAUAGAUUUCACCUAAGAGCUCCAAUUUUCCCUAUAAGGCAUGAGGCAAGUUUCCAGAAUAUAUCUGGUUGAUAACCCUCAGCUGGCAGCCCUCUAAGAAGAUUGCCUUGGCCAUAAGGAGAUACUUUGGCUGCAUCUUGCUUCUUUACCAAGGAUAGCGUGUGUUUAAAUAUUACUUAAUGCAAGUGAUUGCAUCGUUGCCUCGUUUCAGAACGUCGCUGAAGGGCUAUUUCAGUUUGGCUGACACCUUUCUGAUGUUGCAACACAUUUCAAAUUAUCCUGUUGGCCUAAUAUUACUCCUUUUUCUUAUUCCACAGGCUGAGACACAGACAGAGGGAGAAGCAGGCUCCCUGUAAGGAACCAGAUGCAGGAAUCGAUC